GAUGAAGAACGUAGCGAAAUGCGAUAAGUAAUGCGAAUUGCAGAAUUCAGUGAGUCAUCGAAUCUUUGAACGCACAUUGCACCUCUCGGUAUUCCGGGAGGUAUGCCUGUUCGAGCGUCAUUUGUACCCUCAAGCUCUGCUUGGUGUUGGGUGUUUGUUCCGCCUCUGUGUGUGAACUCGCCUCAAAACAAUUGGCAGCCGGCGUACUUGUUUCGGAGCGCAGCACAUUUUGCGAUCCAGAUCAACGUACAGCGGCAUCCAAGAAGCCUUAUUUAACGCUCUUGACCUCGGAUCAGGUAGGGAUACCCGCUGAACUUAAGCAUAUCAAUAAGCGGAGGA
rnacentral:misc_RNA from 1 species